UACGUAGGGGGCAAGCGUUGUCCGGAAUCAUUGGGCGUAAAGAGCGUGUAGGCGGCCCGAUAAGUCCGCUGUGAAAUCCCGAGGCUCAACCUCGGGUCUGCAGUCGAUACGGGCGGACUGGAGUUCGGCAGGGGAGACUGGAAUUCCUGGUGUAGCGGUGAAAUGCGCAGAUAUCAGGAGGAACACCGGUGGCGAAGGCGGGUCUCUGGGCCGAUACUGACGCUGAGGAGCGAAAGCGUGGGGAGCGAACAGG
rnacentral:rRNA from 1 species